rnacentral:tRNA from 1 species
AAGGAUUUAAGUUAAUUAAACUAGUAGCCUUCAAAGUUUCAAAUAAAGUUAUAUUUAAGCCUUA